rnacentral:rRNA from 1 species
CUACGGGACGCACCAGUGGGGAAUUUUGGACAAUGGGCGAAAGCCUGAUCCAGCCAUUCCGCGUGAGUGAUGAAGGCCUUCGGGUUGUAAAGCUCUUUCGGCCGGGAAAAAAUCGCAUGGGUUAAUACCCUGUGUGGAUGAUGGUACCGGACUAAGAAGCACCGGCUAACUACGUGCCAGCAGCCGCGGUAAUACGUAGGGUGCGAGCGUUAAUCGGAAUUACUGGGCGUAAAGCGUGCGCAGGCGGAUGUUUAAGUCAGAUGUGAAAUCCCCGGGCUCAACCUGGGAAUGGCAUUUGAACUGGGAAUCUAGAGUGCGUCAGAGGGGGGUGGAAUUCCACGUGUAGCAGUGAAAUGCGUAGAGAUGUGGAGGAACACCGAUGGCGAAGGCAGCCCCCUGGGAUGACACUGACGCUCAUGCACGAAAGCGUGGGGAGCAAACAGGAUUAGAUACCCUCGUAGUC